CACGUAGGGCGCGAGCGUUAUCCGGAAUUAUUGGGCGUAAAGAGCUCGUAGGCGGUUUGUCGCGUCUGCCGUGAAAGUCCGGGGCUCAACUCCGGAUCUGCGGUGGGUACGGGCAGACUAGAGUGAUGUAGGGGAGACUGGAAUUCCUGGUGUAGCGGUGAAAUGCGCAGAUAUCAGGAGGAACACCGGUGGCGAAGGCGGGUCUCUGGGCCGAUACUGACGCUGGAGGAGCG
rnacentral:rRNA from 1 species